rnacentral:rRNA from 1 species
ACGAAGGGUGCAAGCGUUACUCGGAAUUACUGGGCGUAAAGCGUGCGUAGGUGGUUCGUUAAGUCUGAUGUGAAAGCCCUGGGCUCAACCUGGGAAUGGCAUUGGAUACUGGCGACCUAGAGUGCGGUAGAGGGUAGCGGAAUUCCCGGUGUAGCAGUGAAAUGCGUAGAUAUCGGGAGGAACAUCCGUGGCGAAGGCGGCUAUCUGGACAGAGUCUGACGCUGAGGCGCGAAAGCUAGGGGAGCAAACAGGA